rnacentral:rRNA from 1 species
AGUCGAGCGAACUGAUUAGAAGCUUGCUUCCUAUGACGUUAGCGGCGGACGGGUGAGUAACACGUGGGCAACCUGCCUGUAAGACUGGGAUAACUUCGGGAAACCGAAGCUAAUACCGGAUAGGAUCUUCUCCUUCAUGGGAGAUGAUUGAAAGAUGGUUUCGGCUAUCACUUACAGAUGGGCCCGCGGUGCAUUAGCUAGUUGGUGAGGUAACGGCUCACCAAGGCAACGAUGCAUAGCCGACCUGAGAGGGUGAUCGGCCACACUGGGACUGAGACACGGCCCAGACUCCUACGGGAGGCAGCAGUAGGGAAUCUUCCGCAAUGGACGAAAGUCUGACGGAGCAACGCCGCGUGAGUGAUGAAGGCUUUCGGGUCGUAAAACUCUGUUGUUAGGGAAGAACAAGUACGAGAGUAACUGCUCGUACCUUGACGGUACCUAACCAGAAAGCCACGGCUAACUACGUGCCAGCAGCG